ACGCUGGCGGCAGGCCUAACACAUGCAAGUCGAGCGGUAACAGGAAUUAGCUUGCUAAUUUGCUGACGAGCGGCGGACGGGUGAGUAAUGCCUAGGGAACUGCCCAGUCGAGGGGGAUAACAGUUGGAAACGACUGCUAAUACCGCAUACGCCCUACGGGGGAAAAGAGGGGACCUUCGGGCCUUCUGCGAUUGGAUGUACCUAGGUGGGAUUAGCUAGUUGGUGAGGUAAUGGCUCACCAAGGCGACGAUCCCUAGCUGUUCUGAGAGGAUGAUCAGCCACACUGGGACUGAGACACGGCCCAGACUCCUACGGGAGGCAGCAGUGGGGAAUAUUGCACAAUGGGCGCAAGCCUGAUGCAGCCAUGCCGCGUGUGUGAAGAAGGCCUUCGGGUUGUAAAGCACUUUCAGCGAGGAGGAAAGCUUAAGCGUUAAUAGCGUUUAGGUGUGACGUUACUCGCAGAAGAAGGACCGGCUAACUUCGUGCCAGCAGCCGCGGUAAUACGAGGGGUCCAAGCGUUAAUCGGAAUUACUGGGCGUAAAGCGUACGCAGGCGGUUUGUUAAGCGAGAUGUGAAAGCCCCGGGCUCAACCUGGGAACUGCAUUUCGAACUGGCAGACUAGAGUCUUGUAGAGGGGGGUAGAAUUUCAGGUGUAGCGGUGAAAUGCGUAGAGAUCUGAAGGAAUACCGGUGGCGAAGGCGGCCCCCUGGACA
rnacentral:rRNA from 1 species